UACGGAGGGUGCGAGCGUUGUCCGGAAUCACUGGGCGUAAAGAGCGCGUAGGCGGCGCGGUACGACCGCUGUGAAAGCCCCCAGCUCAACUGGGGAGGGUCAGCGGUAACGGCCGUGCUAUGAGUGCAGGAGAGGGAAGUGGAACUCCGGGAGUAGCGGUGAAAUGCGUAGAGACCCGGAGGAACACCAGUGGCGAAGGCGGCUUCCUGGUCUGCGACUGACGCUGUGGCGCGAAAGCUAGGGGAGCAAACGGG
rnacentral:rRNA from 1 species